CCUACGGUGGGCAGCAGUGAGGAAUAUUGGUCAAUGGGCGCGAGCCUGAACCAGCCAAGUAGCGUGAAGGAUGACUGCCCUACGGGUCGUACACUUCUUUUAUAAAGGAAUAAAGUGAGGCACGUGUGCCUUUGUGGAUGUACGUUAUGAAUAAGGAUCGGCGAACUCCGUGCCAGCAGCCGCGGUAAUACGGAGGAUCCGAGCGUUAUCCGGAUUUAUUGGGUUUAAAGGGAGCGUCGAUGGUUUGUUUAGUCAGUGUGUACAGUUUGCGGCUCAACCGUAAAAUUGCAAUUGAUACUGGCAGUCUGCAGUACAGUUGUGGUAGGCGGAAUUCGUGGUGUAGCGGUGAAAUGCUUAGAUAGCACGAAGAACUCCGAUUGCGAAGGCAGCUUACUAAACUGCCACUGACAUUGCUGCUCGCAAGUGUGGGUAUCAAACAGGAUUAGAUACCCGAGUAGUC
rnacentral:rRNA from 1 species